rnacentral:rRNA from 1 species
GACAGAGGUGCCGAGCGUUAGGCGGAAUCACUGGGCUUAAAGCGUGUGUAGGCGGAUCUGUAAGUACCUUGUGAAAUCCCACGGCUCAACCGUGGAACUGCUUGGUAUACUGCGGGUCUUGAGCCACCUAGGGGCAAGUGGAACAAACGGUGGAGCGGUGAAAUGCGUAGAUAUCGUUUGGAACGCCAAUGGUGAAAACAACUUGCUGGGGGUGUGCUGACGCUGAGACACGAAAGCCAGGGGAGCAAAACGGG